rnacentral:rRNA from 1 species
UGGGGAAUUUUGGACAAUGGGCGCAAGCCUGAUCCAGCAAUGCCGCGUGAGUGAAGAAGGCCCUCGGGUUGUAAAGCUCUUUUGUCAGGGAAGAAAAGGUGAUCUCUAACACAGGUCACUCAUGACGGUACCUGAAGAAUAAGCACCGGCUAACUACGUGCCAGCAGCCGCGGUAAUACGUAGGGUGCAAGCGUUAAUCGGAAUUACUGGGCGUAAAGCGUGCGCAGGCGGUUAUAUAAGUCAGAUGUGAAAUCCCCGGGCUCAACCUGGGAACUGCAUUUGAGACUGUAUGGCUAGAGUGUGUCAGAGGGGGGUAGAAUUCCACGUGUAGCAGUGAAAUGCGUAGAUAUGUGGAGGAAUACCGAUGGCGAAGGCAGCCCCCUGGGAUAACACUGACGCUCAUGCACGAAAGCGUGGGGAGCAAACA